ensembl:lncRNA
CUAAUUGAGAGAGAGAGUGAGGAAGGAAAAAAGAUGGGGAUGGUGUAGUAGUCAGAAAUAAAGGGGGUGGGGGGGGGGGGGGGCAGGAAUAGUGUGUGUGUGUGUGUGUUGGUCACACACACACACACACACAUUUGCACAUUAAUUACCCUGCAGGUGCUGGCGGUCCGUUUUAAUGGGCUGAGCGAAAGGUCAAGAGGGUUUAGCUGUCACUUCUUCUCUCACCAGAGCGCUUUUGGUAUUUCACAGUUUCACAUUCUCAUUUCAAUAUAGGGGCGUCUUAUUAAGAGGUUAAUGAACCCGUUGCAUAGAUAAGUUUGUAAUCAUGGCCGCAUUUUGGGAAAGCAAAGUUGACCAAUUACACUUAAUUGACUGAACACUAUGUAAACUGUGAGGCUGCUAAAGUUUGUGGAAAGUCUUUUAUUUAUAGUAGUUAGCGUAGGUUUGGGGGUGUUAGUGUUAGAACUUGGCGUAGGUUUGGGGGUGUUAGUGUUAGAACUUGGCGUAGGUUUGGGGGUAUUAGUGUUAGAACUUGGC